AGGUUGUGCCAGAACAGAUUACUGCACAACCAGUUCAGCCACAGCCAGUAGGCCCUCAACAGAGCUCCUCACAGUCUGUAAGCUCAGAUCAGACCCUCUCAGUGGAAUCCCAAUCACAGAGUUCUCAAGAAGUUACUUCUGAUGAGUCGCCUGAAGACAAUG